rnacentral:rRNA from 1 species
ACGGCGAGUGAAGCGGCAACAGCUCAAAUUUGAAAUCUGGCUCCUUCGGGGCCCGAGUUGUAAUUUGUAGAGGAUGUUUCGGGCGCGGCGCCGGUCUAAGUCCCUUGGAACAGGGCGUCACAGAGGGUGAGAAUCCCGUAUGUGACCGGCGACCAACCCCAUGUGAAACCCCUUCGACGAGUCGAGUUGUUUGGGAAUGCAGCUCAAAAUGGGUGGUAAAUUUCAUCUAAAGCUAAAUACCGGCCAGAGACCGAUAGCGCACAAGUAGAGUGAUCGAAAGAUGAAAAGCACUUUGGAAAGAGAGUCAAACAGUACGUGAAAUUGUUGAAAGGGAAGCGCUUGCAACCAGACCUGUCCGCGGGCGUUCCACCUCCGUUCUCGGGGGCCCACUCGCCCGUGAUCAGGCCAGCAUCGGUUCGGGCGGCCGGAUAAAGGCCUUGGGAAUGUAGCUCCCCUCGGGGAGAACUUAUAGCCCUCGGUGCAAUGCGGUCAGCCCGGACCGAGGACCGCGCUUCGGCUAGGAUGCUGGCGUAAUGGUUGUAAGCGACCCGUCUUGAAACACGGACCAAGGAGUUAAUUAUCUAUGCGAGUGUUUGGGUGUUAAACCCAUGCGCGUAAUGAAAGUGAACGGAGGUGAGAACCCUUAAGGGCGCAUCAUCGACCGAUCCUGAUGUCUUCGGAUGGAUUUGAGUACGAGCAUAGCUAAUUUGACCCGAAAGAUAGUGAACUAUACCUGAAUAGGGUGAAGCCAGAGGAAACUCUGGUGGAGGCUCGCAGCGGUUCUGACGUGCAAAUCGAUCGUCAAAUUUGGGUAUAGGGGCGAAAGACUAAUCGAACUAUCUAGUAGCUGGUUCCUGCCGAAGUUUCCCUCAGGAUAGCAGUAACGUUUUCAGUUUUAUGAGGUAAAGCGAAUGAUUAGAGGCCUUGGGGUUGAAACAACCUUAACCUAUUCUCAAACUUUAAAUAUGUAAGAAGUCCUUGUUACUUAGUUGAACGUGGACAUUUGAAUGCACCGUUACUAGUGGGCCAUUUUUGGUAAGCAGAACUGGCGAUGCGGGAUGAACCGAACGCGAGGUUAAGGUGCCGGAAUGUACGCUCAUCAGACACCACAAAAGGUGUUGAUUCAUCUAGACAGCCGGACGGUGGCCAUGGAAGUCGGAAUCCGCUAAGGAGUGUGUAAUCGGGUUGUUGCACACCAGAGUCGGGCUUCGGCCUGGCUAACGGCGGGCUUGCUCCGAGGAAGCCCGCUUGUGAUAGCUCUAGGAUGCCUGGAGGCGCCCCUGAACGGGGCUGCUACCGGCAGUGGGAGGCGAACGCCCCCAUCCACAGACUAAACGGAGCUGACCGGGGAACUUUGGCGUUCCCCGGUGAAGAUAUAGUCGUCCCGGGCCCUGAAAAGGCGCCCCGCCGCGAGAACAACUCACCGGCCGAAUGAAUCAGCCCUGAAAAUGGAUGGCGCUCAAGCGUGCUACCCAUACCUCGCCGCCAGGGUAGAAACGAUGCCCUGGCGAGUAGGCAGGCGUGGGGGU